rnacentral:rRNA from 1 species
GUGGAGCAUGUGGCUUAAUUUGACUCAACGCGGGAAAUCUUACCGGGUCCGGACACACUGAGGAUUGACAGGCAAUAUUAAUUUCGCCCCGGCGAUUUUAUGUUAAAUAUGCUAGUCCUUUCAUGAUUAUGUGAUAGGUGGUGCAUGGCCGUUCUUAGUUCGUGGAGUGAUCUGUCUGCUUAAUUGCGUUUCACUAAGGGCCUAUAAUUUAACGUGUGUUGCGGCACUUUGACCCCUCUUCGCGGAGCGUGCGUCUUAGCUUGUUUAGCUCACACAAUUAGGUCCUGAAAGCAACGAACGUGACCGCAACCUCUUGUUGCCUUUAUACCAAACACAGUCUGACCUUCUUCACUGAAGGGCUACCGUGAAAAAAGGCUUUUUAAACUAGAGGGACCGCUGUUACUUUCUUAAACCAGAGGAAGGUUGCGGCAAUAACAGGUCU